rnacentral:rRNA from 1 species
UAGGGAAUAUUGGACAAUGGGGGCAACCCUGAUCCAGCCAUGCCGCGUGAGUGAAGAAGGCCCUCGGGUUGUAAAGCUCUUUUGUCCGGAAAGAAAAGCUUCGGGUUAAUACCCCGGGGUUCUGACGGUACCGGCAGAAUAAGCACCGGCUAACUCCGUGCCAGCAGCCGCGGUAAUACGAAGGGUGCAAGCGUUACUCGGAAUUACUGGGCGUAAAGCGUGCGUAGGUGGUUGUUUAAGUCUGAUGUGAAAGCCCUGGGCUCAACCUGGGAAUGGCAUUGGUAACUGGGCCGCUAGAGUGCGGUAGAGAGUAGUGGAAUUCCCGGUGUAGCAGUGAAAUGCGUAGAGAUCGGGAGGAACAUCUGUGGCGAAGGCGACUGCCUGGACCAGCACUGACACUGAGGCACGAAAGCGUGGGGAGCAAACA